rnacentral:misc_RNA from 1 species
UCGUACAAUGGAGAUGCCCAGGGCUGUCGCUGACUUUCACAGGUCGUGCACGCCUGAGUGCUCUCACACAAUCCAUCUCACCUUUGUGCAUCACCGCGUGUGCCCCCCUAUUGGGCUCGUUCCAAAGGGGGGUUUCACGUUUUAACACAUACACCAAUUUUUAAGAGCAUGUGUAGAAUGUCUUACCUUUUUGCGAUUAUGCGCAAUCAAUA